GACGAACGCUGGCGGCGUGCUUAACACAUGCAAGUCGAACGGAAAGGCCCUUCGGGGUACUCGAGUGGCGAACGGGUGAGUAACACGUGGGUGAUCUGCCCUGCACUUUGGGAUAAGCCUGGGAAACUGGGUCUAAUACCGAAUAGGACCACGCGCUUCAUGGUGUGUGGUGGAAAGCUUUUGCGGUGUGGGAUGGGCCCGCGGCCUAUCAGCUUGUUGGUGGGGUAAUGGCCUACCAAGGCGACGACGGGUAGCCGGCCUGAGAGGGUGACCGGCCACACUGGGACUGAGAUACGGCCCAGACUCCUACGGGAGGCAGCAGUGGGGAAUAUUGCACAAUGGGCGCAAGCCUGAUGCAGCGACGCCGCGUGAGGGAUGACGGCCUUCGGGUUGUAAACCUCUUUCAAUAGGGACGAAGCGCAAGUGACAGUACCUAUAGAAGAAGCACCGGCCAACUACGUG
rnacentral:rRNA from 1 species